rnacentral:rRNA from 1 species
CCUACGGGGGGCGGCAGUGAGGAAUAUUGGUCAAUGGGCGCAAGCCUGAACCAGCCAUCCCGCGUGCAGGAAGACGGCGCUAUGCGUUGUAAACUGCUUUUCCAGGGAGAGAAACUUGCGCACGUGUUGCGCAAUUGACGGUACCCUGGGAAUACGCAUCGGCUAACUCCGUGCCAGCAGCCCCGGUC